UUCAACAUUUUUAUCCUUUGGUUAAACAUGUUUAGUACAACAAUCAGUGUCCAUACGCUUCCAAACAUGUUUAACAGCAUUCAUACGCCUCUAAAUGCUCCCAAACAACCCCAAAUGCGUCCACACUCCUCCAAAUGUGUUUCCUAAAGCUUUUUUCAACAUUUUGAUGCAUUGAUUUAUAUUCAAAUGAAGAAAACCUUAUUUAGACAAGAUUUUUGGUUUUGAUGGUGAAAAAAGUACCUUGGAGCAGCGUAAACAAAUAAGGAGUGAUGGGGAGCAUACUUCAAUGGAUUUAUGUGUUAAAGCUUCCUUAUCACGAAUAUAUGUGUAACAUUUAUAAUUCUUUCAAUUUAUUUUGUUAGAAUUAUGAUUUAUUAAACACUCUAGUGCUAGGGAUGAGUUAAUAUUCUUGAUGAAACUUGUACUUGUAAAUUGAUUUUUGUAAUUACUAAGUAUCUUAUUAUGUUAAUGUUUAUUUUUAUUAUUUCUUAAUGAUUUUCCCUUUCUGGUCAAUUGUGAAUUGUUCUACAGUUACUUGUUAGACUUGAUAAAAAUAUUUUUGAUUAAUUAUCAACUAGAAA
rnacentral:lncRNA from 1 species